GACGAACGCUGGCGGCGUGCUUAACACAUGCAAGUCGAACGGAAAGGCCCUGCUUUUGUGGGGUGCUCGAGUGGCGAACGGGUGAGUAACACGUGAGUAACCUGCCCUUGACUUUGGGAUAACUCCAGGAAACUGGGGCUAAUACCGGAUAGGAGCUCCUGCUGCAUGGCGGGGGUUGGAAAGUUUCGGCGGUUGGGGAUGGACUCGCGGCUUAUCAGCUUGUUGGUGGGGUAGCGGCUUACCAAGGCUUUGACGGGUAGCCGGCCUGAGAGGGUGACCGGCCACAUUGGGACUGAGAUACGGCCCAGACUCCUACGGGAGGCAGCAGUGGGGAAUAUUGCACAAUGGGCGGAAGCCUGAUGCAGCAACGCCGCGUGCGGGAUGACGGCCUUCGGGUUGUAAACCGCUUUCGCCUGUGACGAAGCGUGAGUGACGGUAAUGGGUAAAGAAGCACCGGCUAACUACGUG
rnacentral:rRNA from 1 species